CAAAAUGAUGUUCUCAUCUCGUUAUUUAUAUUUUCAUCAUGUAUUCAGUUGGGUGGAAUAGUAUAGCACGUUGCAGUUUAGAAUCACACGUAUAUAUUUUGUAUUCCAAGUAAUGUGCUUGAUAGCUAGAUUUAUUUUCUCAUUGUUUUAGUUUGAUAUGGCAGGCUCUGAGAGUUCCCAUUCACAGGCUUGUACAGGCUGUUUAUUCUAUUUUGGUGUGCUUGUCAAAAGGUUUGGGAGCUCCUACUGGAUCUGUUCUUGUAGGUUCAAAAAACUUUAUUGCAAAGGCUAGAAGGGCUUAGGAAAGCCUUAGGUGGAUGCAUGAGGCAACUUGCAGUACUUUGUGCAUCUGCUUAUGUUGCUUUGAGUGAGAAUGUUAGCAAGCUUGAGGAGGAUCAUAGAAAAGCCAAAAUAAUAGCACAAGGAUUGAGUCAAAUUGAACAAUUUAGUGUUGACACAAAUUCGGUGGAGACCA